rnacentral:rRNA from 1 species
UACGUAGGGUGCAAGCGUUGUCCGGAAUUAUUGGGCGUAAAGAGCUCGUAGGCGGUCUGUCGCGUCUGCUGUGAAAACUCGGGGCUUAACCCCGGGCCUGCAGUGGGUACGGGCAGACUAGAGUGCGGUAGGGGAGACUGGAAUUCCUGGUGUAGCGGUGAAAUGCGCAGAUAUCAGGAGGAACACCGGUGGGCGAAGGCGGGGUCUCUGGGCCGUAACUGACG